rnacentral:rRNA from 1 species
GACGAACGCUGGCGGCGUGCUUAACACAUGCAAGUCGAACGGAAAGGCCCUGCUUUUGUGGGGUGCUCGAGUGGCGAACGGGUGAGUAACACGUGAGUAACCUGCCCUUGACUUUGGGAUAACUUCAGGAAACUGGGGCUAAUACCGGAUAGGAGCUCCUGCUGCAUGGUGGGGGUUGGAAAGUUUCGGCGGUUGGGGAUGGACUCGCGGCUUAUCAGCUUGUUGGUUGGGUAGUGGCUUACCAAGGCUUUGGCGGGUAGCCGGCCUGAGAGGGUGACCGGGCACAUUGGGACUGAGAUACGGCCCAGACUCCUACGGGAGGCAGCAGUGGGGAAUAUUGCACAAUGGGCGGAAGCCUGAUGCAGAAACGCCGCGUGCGGGAUGACGGCCUUCGGGUUGUAAACCGCUUUCGCCUGUGACGAAGCGUGAGUGACGGUAAUGGGUAAAGAAGCACCGGCUAACUACGUG